rnacentral:rRNA from 1 species
ACUGCUGCCCAGUGUCAAGGUUAAACGGCCGCGGUAUCCUGACCGCACAAAGGUAGCAUAAUCACUUGUUCCUUAAUUAGGGACUAGCAUGAAUGGCAAGACGAGGAUUUAACUGUCUCUUACUUCUAAUCAGUGAAAUUGACCUUCCAGUGAAGAGGCUGGAAUAAAACAAUAAGACGAGAAGACCCUGUGGAGCUUUAAUUAACUAGCCUAACUAUUAAACUCCCACCCUAAUGGUACAAAAACAAAACUAUAGGCUAACAAUUUUGGUUGGGGUGACCUCGGAGAACAAAACAACCUCCGGAUGAUUCUAGCACAGACACACAAGUCAAAGCAAAACACUUAGUCUAAUUGAACCAAACUAUUUGACCAACGGACCAAGUUACCCUAGGAAUAACAGCGCAAUCCUAUUUAAGAGUCCAUAUCGACAAUAGGGUUUACGACAUCGAUGUUGGAUCAGGACAUGUGAAUGUGCAGAACGUAUUAAGGUUCGUUCGUUCAC